CUCUGCCUGUGCCUUAGGUAUUCAGAGAGGUUUCUUCACAAAGCUUGUUAAGAACUCCGUUCCUCCUAGUUCUGAGGAGAUCUGGGGAGUUUUCAUCAUAGAAUGUCCCAACCGUCAGCAGCCGUGAAGUUUAGGCCUGGGAAUUCUCAGCUUGGUAUUCGGGCAGAGAUUGUGUUCCGAGUUCGCCCUCAUCAUAAAGCUGUGGUUUUGUUAAACAUCACAGGAAUGAGAAUGGCACGGGGAAGCAGGACGUUCCGGAUGCGGCUUCUGGAAGACAAGCUAUGCAAGGCCUCCUGGUGAUGGCAUUGGCUGAGCAUUGGCUGAGCAAGGCAGAGCAGUUCUCAGCUGGUGUUUGACAAGAACAACCUGUAGAGGGCGUCCUUACACCAAGAGCCAUGGAGGUCUGAGCAAUACUACAGAAGAAAAACCUUCAACGAAAACCACAUUCCAAGUCAAAAAGAGUCUAUUGUGUUGCGAAAUUAUUACCUGUAACUGAAUGACACUGUUUUUACAAUAUUAAAGGGUUAUAAGUUUGCCUAAUAUAGUAAAACAUUAUACAAAUUAAUAUUCACUGCAACAAUUAAUUAAUAAAAU
rnacentral:lncRNA from 1 species